UUGAUCCUAGCCCCUUCGGCCCUUUCUUCUGGAAGGUUCUCUCCUCCAGCGAUUUGUUUGAGAAGAAGCAGAGAUUUGGAGGUGAAGUCCAAGCUGCCUGCAGAUUUACCCUUUCUUGCUUUGUUCUUUAUGACUGUAUCUCCUUGUUGUAUUUUAAAUAAAGGGGCUGGCACCUAGACCAGAAUUAGUAGAACUUUGCAUUGUUUCAGUUCUUACCCCAGUUCAAGUCUCCGUCAGUCCCACUUCAAAUCCACAAACCCCACAAAACCCGUGUUUCAUGAAAACAUUGUCAUGAUCCUAACGUUCUUCUCCAUGGACAUAAAACCUCUCUCACCCUUCAUCACUUUUCCUUGUCACUUUGCUCCUCUGUAAAGUACUCAGACGGUCCUAAGUAUUUGGUGAAUGAAUUCACUCCUUCAAGAAUAAACAAAUACUAUAAUGGGUGAACGACCUUCUUGAAACAUUAGCAAGACAGCGUGGCACCCUAAGAACGGAGUGUGGGUGAAAUGCUCUGGAUUGCACGCGCGAGAAGCCUGCCUUCCCUAGACAAGGGAACUCAUUAGCUCACCAGAGUCCAAAGUUGUAAAGAUCCAGGAGAACUAGGAGGGAUGUUCACUCCUGAUGAGGGCCAUGGCCUUAUGUGAGUGUAGAGCUCUUGGCUCACCUUUGCCCCAGUCCGCAGGCUGACUUUUUUCCCUUCUAUUCACAACUGCAAACAUUUGCCCUUCCCAGGGUCUGUUUUCUUAGCUUCCUGAGCUUUGUAGGUCUCAUUAGAUUUCUGAGUUUUAUAAGAUUCCCCUCCUGCGCUCCGACAGCGUUUCAAUGUAGAGGAAAUGGCUACAAGCGUCGUCCUUCAUCACUCAUUGUUGAUGGUUAGUGGGUAUCAACUGGGUGCCAGGCAUUCCGCCAGGCCCUGGGAAAACAGCAGAGAAUGAAGCAAGCGAAAUCCAGGCAACCAAAAUAAGGGAACGCAGAAAUGUCAAGUAAGGGUUUCUCUGUAACCACCCUGGCUGUCCUAGAACUCGCUUCCUAGACCAGGCUUACUUCUGGCUCCUGAGUGCUGGGAUUAAAGGCACAAAGCCGAGCCACCAAGCCCAACAAUUCGGCAUCUGUUUUCAAGAGACCUUAUUUUGAGGGCUGGCUGUGAAGACAUCUGUCUUUACUGGAGCUGCCCCAGAGGACCGUACCAAAUCCAGGCUAUGGACUCCCGCGGUUUCGGCUGGCAUUGAUUACAGAAGGCUUUUAAUUUCCUCCAUUGAGGCCACAUUACCCAGGUCUACAUUUCCUCAGCAAGUUCUGACACAGCACGUUGUCAUUUCUACCCUUCCUCAGUUUGCCGAUCCCCAAAAUGGGAGUGCUAUUUCUCCUGUGCUUCCCAAGGCGGCUGCACCCAAGCCUAGACAGUCUUGGACAAUCUUAGCAAUAAA